rnacentral:rRNA from 1 species
AGAGUUUGAUCCUGGCUCAGGAUGAACGCUGGCGGCGUGCUUAACACAUGCAAGUCGAGCGAAGCACUUUUUAGAACUCUUCGGAGGGAAGAGAGGGUGACUUAGCGGCGGACGGGUGAGUAACGCGUGGGCAACCUGCCUUACACAGGGGGAUAACAAUUAGAAAUGAUUGCUAAUACCGCAUAAGACCCCAGUACCGCAUGGUACAGAGGUAAAAACUGAGGUGGUGUAAGAUGGGCCCGCGUCUGAUUAGGUAGUUGGUGGGGUAGAAGCCUACCAAGCCGACGAUCAGUAGCCGACCUGAGAGGGCGACCGGCCACAUUGGGACUGAGACACGGCCCAAACUCCUACGGGAGGCAGCAGUGGGGAAUAUUGCACAAUGGGGGAAACCCUGAUGCAGCGACGCCGCGUGAGUGAGGAAGUAUUUCGGUAUGUAAAGCUCUAUCAGCAGGGAAGAAAAUGACGGUACCUGACUAAGAAGCCCCGGCUAACUACGCG